AGAUGCAGAUAUGUGCACCCAGACAAUGAACAGACGCUGCUAACUUCUCUGUUGAAUUAGAGAAAACCUGGAAGAAGCUGAGGAGGAGGGCGACUCUGUAAGAGGACCAGUCUCAACUAACCUCGACCUCCGAGAUCUCUCAGAUAUCGGGCAGCAUAUACCAGCCUAUAUGAGGCCCCCAGCACAUACACAGCAGAGGACUCAUAGGGUGUAGGAAGAAAUGGGGCAAGAUGGCUGCAGGAAAGUUUGGUGUGACAAUUGGAACAAUACUGCCCUCCUGCUGAUUAACUCUCUGGUGAUCAUGGUUCCUGUAAGUGGUGAAGUCUACUGGGCCUAUGUUCCUAACCCUCCACUAAUACAUCUGGUAGUGUGGUCCAGACUGGAGAUUCUCAUAACCGAUAAUAAUACACAACUUCUUGGAUCUCUCUGAACUGGGGAGUCAACUUAUAAUAAGAUGAUGACUUUCAAUGCAUUUGGGGGUGCGAUUCCUGUUUGCUUUGUGAAGUAUAGUAUGAUUGCUGGGUGUAUUUCAGUGUUUCCUCAAAUUUGGAAGAAAAACCUUUUAGCUGUACUCAAAGCAUAGAGAUAUGCAUGAGAUAACAUUAUAAGGAAUUUGCCCCUAAUCCUCAUGAGAUUCAACCUUGUGGAUCUGAACCCAACAGUGAACAGUGGUACUGGCAUUUAUCAAAGUUAUUAGAUGGAAAGAAUGUUAUAAUCAAACCCCAAUGUGGUUUAAUGUUUCCAAUAAAAUGUGAAUUAUUGAUUGGGCAGGGAAUCCAUCAAACAUUGGGCAAAAGGAGAUGUCCCUAGGCCUGCAGCAAUCAGAAGAAUUUGUUUUUAUCCUGGUAAAGGAUGUUAUAUCUAACAUGAUAGAAACAAUUUGUUUCUCAUAAAAUAUAAUGUUAUCAUUUGAAUAAAAAAGAAAUUAAAAGUGUUUUUACUCAGCGAGAGCAAUAUGAUACAAACUUCCUUAAAACAUUUAGACACAAUAAUUCAGAACAAUUUACAAAGUUGGGAUAACAUGCAGAAGAAAUAUUAAAAGUCCCUAAUAGCCAGUAGGAGUAAGAAUGGCCUCUCAGAUCUUCUCACAGUAUAGCUGGAUCUCUCUCUUCUUUAUUUGCUGUAUCAUACUUGGUUACUCCGUUCUAGCAGCAGUUUUUGUUUUUGUUUUUUUGUUUUUGUUUUGUUUUGUUUUUUGUUUUUUCCAGAGCCGAGGAUCAAACCCAGGGCCUUGCACUUGCUAGGCAAGUGCUCUACCACUGAGCUAAAUCCUUAACCCCAGGUUACUCCAUUCUAAAUCGCUCUCCUUCUUUCGUUUAUUUGCCCAAUACAUGAUAUGCAGAGGGUGUGUUGCGUAUUGGACAUCAUUCUAACUAAUCUCCUUGCAUGAAGACAGGAAUUUAAGUGAAAGUGGGUUUUUUUUAUAUUUUAGUGUAAACAUAUGUUAUAUUUUUCAUGGUGUACCAGAUGAUCAUCAGUUUCGAGGAGAUAGCUUGAGGUUAGGCAAGGAUUGUAGGAGUAGAUGUCAUACUUUUAUUUCCUGUAUCCUAAUUAUACUCUGCCCAAUAGAAACAAAGCAUUGCUUAGCUUGAGCACCACAAUGGGAAAUUCUCCUGAGGUUGUAGGCCCUUACUUUAGCAGAUCCAUUUCCCCUCUACAAGCACACAGACAUGGAUAUUUAUGCCACACAGCUGCUAAUUACAUGUGUCUUUCCCAGGAUUAAUUAAAUGCGGGUUUGACCUUUGUCUUUUCUGUGCUUCAUAUUUCAAUCUUUGAAGCACAGUGUAUCAUUUUUUUAAGUGCAUUCCUAAUCUCCCUCUGGUACAAGGGGUGAUAUUCAAUUACUUUUGUCAAGUUUCCCGAUUUGCUUCUGGCAGUGAGACCCUUAAAUGUAAUGUAAAUUCACCGUCUUGACAAUUAUCCAUUCUCAUAUCAUCUAUGCAGAGAGCAGGAGGUUAAAAUUCACCAAAAAACAUAUGAUUUUUUUUUUACAAAAUCCACUGUUUCUACUCAGGUCGUUAUAGAACUUUGGCAGAAAUGAGGCACCAUGUCCUAAGGUUGUUCUUUGUUUUCACAUAACAUUCAGAUCACCCAGGUAACAUGAAAAAUAUUUGUGCUUGAUCCCACAUCCAGGGUUGAAUUCCACACGAUAGAUGAGACAUGGGUUCUUAUAGUUUUGAAAUUUUCACAAAAUGAUUCUAUUUUCUAGGCAAGGAAAAUGAGAAAUUCAGAUGUAGCAAGAAACCUCUGUCUAACCUACAAGCUUUGGAGAAAUGCAAUCUCAGACCAUAUCUCAAAAUAUGGUUCAGUAUCUAAAUUUUAACAAAACCACUCAUUAGCUGUCUGAGCAUUCACAUUCAGAAUUCAGUGCCCAGGUUUCUUAAACACUUCCUCUUUGUGAAAGUAUAGAAGUCGAGAGAAGAAAUGUUUUCUCUGUUCUAGAGUCAGGCAAUUGGGUAAAAGAGAACAUGGUUAGAUUCCGGUUUUAGACUCCUCUCUUUUGAUUAUUUCUUUGCAUGUAGUGACUUUUCACCAUAAAGGACUAUAGAUUUUGUAAAUGUAUAGAACCUUGAUUCAAAGUGGAAGAAAUCCAUGCACAGACCAAUAAAAGAAAGAAUAAAUUGCACCACUGCUAAAUAAAAAUCAAUACAGCCAAAGACCUUAAGCAAAGAGUACUGAGAAGUUAGUCAUACUUUAAUAGCCACAUAGAAAUUUGAUUGUCAUAAUAGCUUUAGAAAAUUUACUGCUGACCAAGUAAUGAGCUUUCUCAGACUCCUACCAUAUAUUUAUUGUGUUUUUUUCCUAACUUUUGAUUUUCUACUUCUUUUUUUAAGACAGAAACAAAACAAACAUUUAAAAGUACUGUCGUAAAUUCUGUGUACCAUAAUAGAGCUAGCUUUGAUAAUUUUCAUUCUUUGCAGAACUUAUUUGAUUUGUGUUCCAGUAUUUGUUUGUGUAGUCCAAAAAUCCAUUGUAAUCAAAGAAAAUGCCCAGAAGAAUUUCCCCUCUAAUAUAUAGUUAUCUGGUCCUGUUUAUUAUAACAUCAAAAGCAAAUAGAAUGAAAGCAGAUGGUCUUGUUAUCAGGGGAUGGCUCUGACAGCAUUGUGUACGCAUGUCAAUUUCUUAAUCCUUAAGAAGAGACUAUUAUCAUUCAUGACCACAGUUGAGAAAAUAAUGAAAAAUAAAUACCUCCCAUGAAAGAAGCACCUAUGUGUUACAAAUCUAUUCAAAAUGGAAUAGUGAUAUCAUGUACAAUAUUUCAAAAUCAUAAAAACACAUCUUUUGGUGAAGAGUCAAUGUUUGGAAUCUAUUGCAAACUAUUUAGCAAACACUGAGUCCUAAUUAAUAAGGCAUUGGUUAUGUGCUUACUAUCUUAGGGAUUCCAUUGUUGAGAUUAGACACUAUGACCAAGGCCAUUCUUCAAAAAGGACAACCUUUAAUUGAGGCUGCCUGACAGGAUCAGAGGUUCAGUCCGUUAUAACCAAAGCAAGAGAGCAUGCCAGCCUCCAGACAGGCAUGGCUUUGGAGGAGCUGGGGAUUCUACAUCUUAAUCUGAAGGCCACUAGGAGAAGACUGGAUCCCACAUAACUAGGAGGAGCCUCUCAAAUUCCAACUCCACAGUAGUACACUUCUUUCAGCAAGUCUACGCUUACUCCAAUAAGACCACAUCUCCUAAUAGUGUCACUCCCUGGGCCAAGCAUAUUCAAGGCACCACAUUUCAAUCCCUGGCCACCAUAGACUUGUUCAAACACAUGAGUCUACUGGGGAUAUACUUAGGCAUAGAACGAUGCAAAAUGCAUUUAGUCCUACUUCAAAUGUCCCAUAGUCAAUAACAGUUUCUACAAUAUUAAAAGCCCAAAGUUCAAAGUCUCUUCUGAGACUUAUACAAUCCCUAAACUGUAAUACCUUUAGAAAUCAUAGUUACAAAAAACAGAUUAUCUACCUCCAAUAUCACAGGAUAUGCAUCAUCACUCCUAAACAUCAUAAUGCGGAAAUACUGGACCAAAGAAAGACCCAAAAACCAGCUGGACAAACUCAAAACUCUGUAUUUCCAUGUCUGGUAGCAAGGCUUUUGUGAUUCAUUUUGUUAUGAUCCCCAUGAAGAAUGGACUUUCUAUCUCAUUUGAAAGGGUCCCAGGCAUCAAAAUCAGUUCAGUCUGUUCUGCCAUCUAGCACUUUCAACAGCUGUGUCAUCUAAUACAGCUACGAUGCAGACCUUAUAUAAUGUUUGAAAGAAAUUGGGAGAGCGACUUUUCAUAGGGAGUGUGGGCCACUAAGAGUAGCUUGUACAGCAGAUACCAUCUAACUGCGUUUUGUCCAGCAAUCUGUGCAGGCAUUCACCAUCAUGCGUGACUUAAAUGGUGCUGAGAUCAAACACAGGGCCAUGAACAUGAAUGUGUUGAAUAGAAGCUGCCUUCCCCCAAGCCAGCAAGCAACCCUUUCUCUCUUCGCUACCAAGCUGCAGUGCCUCCUGGUUGCCAGAUGCAUGAGGUACUUGAUCUAACCCUAAGGUGUUGAGAGCCACAACAGAUGGAACUUAGACAACCGAUAUGAGCUUCAGAAGAACCCAGACGGGACCUCAGCUCCAAACAAUAAGCAAAUUUUUCUUGAGGGGACAACAAUUCUAAAUGCUUAAUUCUGCCUCAGCUGGCGAAAGUUGAAUUGCCCUGCUGAAGUCUGGUGCAUUCUUCCUCUCCUUGGUGGUCAAGAAUAAAAUUCCUGUACACUUUUGAAAGUAAAUCAUUUAAAAAGUGUUA